GUUUUAUUCUGUAGGAUUUUAACGCAUUAAUUAAGUAAAUGUUUAAACCCUCUGUCACAAUAUCUGAGUUUAAAUUUCUCUGUGAAACUAUGCGCAUACCGGUUACUUAACCGGAUAGCUAACUAGCUUGUAUGCUAGCAUUUUAAAUAUAAGCCUAGGUAGAUAAGCUAUGCUUAAGCUAAGUUGUUUCCUGGAUUUAGCUGAACAACUCUCUUUUCACCGGGACAACCCGAAACACCCGCCAGUUCAGAAGCAAGCGACUCAAUAUCUUCUAAACUACAGCACUGCCCACUGCUCGUAUGGCCUUCGGGUUUCCUGCCACCUCACUGAGCUGCUUGUAGGAGAUGGUUUGGCCCACUUUUACUUUCUCUUGCAGAGUUCGCAACACAUGAGCAGUAAAGGAGUCUGACUCACAGAGAUGGAAAGUUCAGACCACUUAGCUGAAGCUCUCCCACCGGUGACUCCAGACAGACAGACUGCAACGCACACUCACUGCUAACACACAAACACAUUUUUGUGUUAUUAAAUGUGGAUGGAACUUAAUAUGCUACAUGCAGAAGCUAGUAAUUAAAGUGCAUUCUCCAUACAGAGCUUUAUCCAUCAAUAAAGUUAGUUAAACAAA